rnacentral:lncRNA from 1 species
UUGUGUAGUAUUGACCUACGAGACUUAGGACUCGUUGGGUUAAUACAAAGACCUCACCUAGAAUAGAUCCUUUUUAAGAUAUUAUUGUCUUACGAUUAGUCGUUCUGACGAUAAUAUUCUUGAAUUGGGUCCAUGACUCUAGGAACCUUUUAAACCCUAGAGCCUACCUGUUUGGUUUUCCUAUUCCUGGAACCUUUCCUCCAUGAAGUAAUUAAUCAGAAUGUUCCAAUGAUCACCUACCCAAUUGUACAU